UACGGGGGGGGCAAGCGUUGUUCGGAAUUACUGGGCGUAAAGGGCUCGUAGGUGGCCAACUAAGUCAGACGUGAAAUCCCUCGGCUUAACCGGGGAACUGCGUCUGAUACUGGAUGGCUUGAGUUCGGGAGAGGGAUGCGGAAUUCCAGGUGUAGCGGUGAAAUGCGUAGAUAUCUGGAGGAACACCAAUAGCGAAGGCAGCUCGCUGGGACGGUACUGACGCUAAGGCGCGAAAGCGUGGGGAGCGAACAGG
rnacentral:rRNA from 1 species